rnacentral:lncRNA from 1 species
GGGGAUCUAUUUACAGAAACAGAAGGGUUUAUAAUAACAGUAAGGACCAGGUAAUAAACACAAAAAACUACAAAAAUAUAUUUUUACGAUGAUAUACAACAAAAUAUAAUAUAUUUGUAAUAUGAAAAAAUAUAUAAUGAAGGACAUCACAUUGACAAACGACACUUGUAGGAAAUGCCACAUAGCCUCCGAAACAAUUCAACACAUUACAUCAGGUUGCAAGCUGCUUGCACAAACAGAUUACCUAUACAGACACAACCAAGUAGCAAACAUAAUAUACCAAAAGCUUGCAACCAAACACAAAUUGAUAAACACAUUCACAUUAUAUCACAAAUACAUAUCAGACACAAUCUUAGAAAACUCGACACACAAGAUGUACUAUGACAGAACAAUCUUAACAGAC